AACGAACGCUGGCGGCAUGCCUAACACAUGCAAGUCGAACGAGACCUUCGGGUCUAGUGGCGCACGGGUGCGUAACGCGUGGGAACCUGCCCUUAGGUUCGGAAUAACUCCCCGAAAGGGGUGCUAAUACCGGAUAAUGUCUUCGGACCAAAGAUUUAUCGCCUUUGGAUGGGCCCGCGUUGGAUUAGCUAGUUGGUAGGGUAAAAGCCUACCAAGGCGACGAUCCAUAGCUGGUCUGAGAGGAUGAUCAGCCACACUGGGACUGAGACACGGCCCAGACCCCUACGGGAGGCAGCAGUGGGGAAUAUUGGACAAUGGGCGAAAGCCUGAUCCAGCAAUGCCGCGUGAGUGAUGAAGGCCUUAGGGUUGUAAAGCUCUUUUACGCGGGAUGAUAAUGACAGUACCGGGAGAAUAAGCUCCGGCUAACUCCGUG
rnacentral:rRNA from 1 species